GACGAACGCUGGCGGCGUGCUUAACACAUGCCAGUCGAACGGAAAGGCCCUGCUUUUGUGGGGUGCUCGAGUGGCGAACGGGUGAGUAACACGUGAGUAACCUGCCCUUGACUUUGGGAUAACUUCAGGAAACUGGGGCUAAUACCGGAUAGGAGCUCCUGCUGCAUGGUGGGGGUUGGAGAGUUUCGGCGGUUGGGGAUGGACUCGCGGCUUAUCAGCUUGUUGGUGGGGUAGUGGCUUACCAAGGCUUUGACGGGUAGCCGGCCUGAGAGGGUGACCGGCCACAUUGGGACUGAGAUACGGCCCAGACUCCUACGGGAGGCAGCAGUGGGGAAUAUUGCACAAUGGGCGGAAGCCUGAUGCAGCAACGCCGCGUGCGGGAUGACGGCCUUCGGGUUGUAAACCGCUUUCGCCUGUGACGAAGCGUGAGUGACGGUAAUGGGUAAAGAAGCACCGGCUAACUACGUG
rnacentral:rRNA from 1 species